rnacentral:rRNA from 1 species
CUUGUGCUAAUACCGGAUACGGACGAGAGUCGAAAGAUUUAUCGCCGAAGGAUUGGCCCGCGUUCGAUUAGCUAGUUGGUGUGGUAACGGCGCACCAAGGCGACGAUCGAUAGCUGGUCUGAGAGGAUGAUCAGCCACAUUGGGACUGAGACACGGCCCAAACUCCUACGGGAGGCAGCAGUGGGGAAUAUUGGACGAUGGGCGCAAGCCUGAUCCAGCCAUGCCGCGUGAGUGAUGACGGCCUUAGGGUUGUAAAGCUCUUUCGCUAGGGACGAUAAUGACGGUACCUAGACAAGAAGCCCCGGCUAACUUCGUGCCAGCAGCCGCGGUAAUACGAAGGGGGCUAGCGUUGUUCGGAACUACUGGGCGUAAAGCGCGUGUAGGCGGGCUUUUAAGUCAGGGGUGAAAUGCCAAGGCUCAAACCUUGGAACUGCCUUUGAUACUGGAA